rnacentral:rRNA from 1 species
AGUGAACGCUGGCGGUAGGCCUAACACAUGCAAGUCGAACGGCAGCACAGGAGAGCUUGCUCUCUGGGUGGCGAGUGGCGGACGGGUGAGGAAUACAUCGGAAUCUACUCUGUCGUGGGGGAUAACGUAGGGAAACUUACGCUAAUACCGCAUACGACCUACGGGUGAAAGCAGGGGACCUUCGGGCCUCGCGCGAUUGACUGAGCCGAUGUCGGAUUAGCUAGUUGGCGGGGUAGAGGCCGACCAAGGCGACGAUCCGUAGCUGGUCUGUGAGGAUGAUCAGCCACACUGGAACUGAGACACGGUCCAGACUCCUACGGGAGGCAGCAGUGGGGAAUAUUGGACAAUGGGCGCAAGCCUGAUCCAGCCAUACCGCGUGGGUGAAGAAGGCCUUCGGGUUGUAAAGCCCUUUUGUUGGGAAAGAAAUCCAGCUGGCUAAUACCCGGUUGGGAUGACGGUACCCAAAGAAUAAGCACCGGCUAACUUCGUGCCAGCCGCCGCCGUAA